UUUCGUCGUAACCUUACGAAUUAGAGAGAUUAAAUAUCGUCGCAUGUUAAUCUAGUAUUUUUAUCAUUUUCCCUUUUUUUCUAGUUUUUACACUACGAGGUAUUUACGACAAUUUCUACUUACGUGGAAUUAACGAGUGUUAUGUUUAAAUCCUUUUACGUGGUAUUUACGACGAUUUCAACUUACGUGGAAUUAACGAGUGUUAUGUUUAAAUCCUUUUACAUGGUCUUUACGACGAUUUGUGCUUACGUGGAAUUAACGAGUAUU
rnacentral:lncRNA from 1 species